rnacentral:tRNA from 1 species
GCAUUCAUAGCUCAAUGGAUAGAGCAACAGCCUUCUAAGCUGUAAGUUGUGAGUUCGAGUCUCACUGGAUGCA